AUUGAACGCUGGCGGCAUGCUUUACACAUGCAAGUCGAACGGCAGCACAAACUUCGGUUUGGUGGCGAGUGGCGAACGGGUGAGUAAUGCAUCGGAACGUGUCCUGAAGUGGGGGAUAACGCAUCGAAAGAUGCGCUAAUACCGCAUAAUCUCUGAGGAGAAAAGUGGGGGAUCGAAAGACCUCAUGCUUUUGGAGCGGCCGAUGUCUGAUUAGCUAGUUGGUAGGGUAAUGGCCUACCAAGGCGACGAUCAGUAGUUGGUCUGAGAGGAUGGCCAGCCACACUGGGACUGAGACACGGCCCAGACUCCUACGGGAGGCAGCAGUGGGGAAUUUUGGACAAUGGGCGAAAGCCUGAUCCAGCAAUGCCGCGUGAGUGAAGAAGGCCUUCGGGUUGUAAAGCUCUUUCAGUUGAGAAGAAAAAAUUGUGACUAAUACUUGCAAUUCAUGACAGUAUCAACAGAAGAAGCACCGGCUAACUACGUGCCAGCCGCCGCUGUAA
rnacentral:rRNA from 1 species